GACAUCACUGGAACAUUAGGGAAGUGGAAACACAGCUGCCUGCUCUAGAGUAUGGGUUGCCUUUGUGUCUGGAAUGUGUCUGACGUCCUGAUCCCUGUGUCCAUUUCAGGGAGCCUUGGGAGGAGCCUGAGUCACUGAUGGAAUUGGACAGUGCAUGGAGAUGCUUCAGCAGGACGAGGGUUUCUUACCUGUUACGUAUGGAUAAUAGCAUUACCUUAAGGAUUAUGGUGAAGAUACAACGUCCAAAUAUGAGCACAGUUUUGAGCAAAAUGCCUUGUACGAAUUGUGCUGAAAACUCAUCCCUGUGUGACCUCAAUGUCAUUGGAGGACAGUGCGGGCUGCAGUGAGGCACGCCUUCAAAUGGGAUUGAUCCAGUCCUCGUUCCUUCACUUCCACAUGAAUGCUGAGCGGCCCAGGAUCACACCCAGUGCACCCACAACUCAGGCAAGUCCAGCAGCCAAUCCUAGGAGAGCUGGGCUACAGAACAGUCUCCCAAGUUCCAGGCUCACAAAACCUCGGUGGGGAUGGAAGCUGAGAAAGUGAGGAGGUGGCUCAGGGGAUUGCUCUUUCCUACUCAUUCCUCUCAUGUCAAACUCACCUUCUGCUGCACCACUGAGGA
rnacentral:lncRNA from 1 species